UGGUCGGGAUAGUCAGC
rnacentral:tRNA from 2 species